CACCUACGGGUGGCUGCAGUGGGGAAUAUUGGACAAUGGGCGCAAGCCUGAUCCAGCCAUGCCGCGUGGGUGAAGAAGGCCUUCGGGUUGUAAAGCCCUUUUGUCCGGAAAGAAAAGCUCGAGGUUAAUACCUUCGGGUUCUGACGGUACCGGAAGAAUAAGCACCGGCUAACUUCGUGCCAGCAGCCGCGGUAAUACGAAGGGUGCAAGCGUUACUCGGAAUUACUGGGCGUAAAGCGUGCGUAGGUGGUUCGUUAAGUCUGAUGUGAAAGCCCUGGGCUCAACCUGGGAAUUGCAUUGGAUACUGGCGGGCUAGAGUGCGGUAGAGGAUGGCGGAAUUCCCGGUGUAGCAGUGAAAUGCGUAGAGAUCGGGAGGAACAUCUGUGGCGAAGGCGGCCAUCUGGACCAGCACUGACACUGAGGCACGAAAGCGUGGGGAGCAAACAGGAUUAGAUACCCUGGUAGUCCACGCCCUAAACGAUGCGAACUGGAUGUUGGGUGCAACUAGGCACUCAGUAUCGAAGCUAACGCGUUAAGUCGCC
rnacentral:rRNA from 1 species